rnacentral:miRNA from 1 species
UCAGGUCACAUGUUCAGGAUA